GUGCUUUUGGUCACAAAUCUCCAACCGCUCUGCCACACAUCUGUCUGUUCCUCUCUUUUAUUGAUUUUAGGAACCCUGCCACACGGGGUGCUGCAACUCUAUGGGGUGGGGUCAAAGCAUGUAUCACAUGGUUGCAGCGCUAAUGACAUUCACUA